CCCGCAACGAGCGCAACCCUCAUCGCUAGUUACAUGUGUCUAGCGAGACUGCCAGGUUAACCCUGGAGGAAGGUGGGGAUGACGUCAAGUCAGCAUGGCCUUUAUGCCCAGGGCUACACACACGCUACAAUGGUCGGUGCAAUGGGAUGCCAAGCCGUGAGGCGGAGCAAAUCCUCAAAGCCGGCCUCAGUUCGAAUUGGAGGCUGCAACUCGCCUCCAUGAAGUCGGAGUUGCUAGUAACCGCAGGUCAGCUAUACUGCGGUGAAUACGUUCCCGGGGCUU
rnacentral:rRNA from 1 species